UACGUAGGUGGCAAGCGUUGUCCGGAUUUACUGGGCGUAAAGAGCGCGCAGGCGGUCGUUCAAGUCGCGUGUGAAAGCCCCCGGCUCAACUGGGGAGGGUCACGCGAUACUGAUCGACUCGAAGGCAGGAGAGGGUAGUGGAAUUCCCGGUGUAGUGGUGAAAUGCGUAGAUAUCGGGAGGAACACCAGUGGCGAAGGCGGCUUCCUGGCGCGAAUCUGACGCUGAGGUGCGAAAGCGUGGGGAGCGAGCCGG
rnacentral:rRNA from 1 species